AGGAUAAACGCUGGCGGCGUGCCUAAUACAUGCAAGUCGAGCGGCAGCACGGUCUUCGGACUGGUGGCGAGCGGCGGACGGCUGAGUAACGCGUGGGAACGUACCCCAAAGUGAGGGAUAAGCACCAGAAAUGGUGUCUAAUACCGCAUGUGCUCUAAGGAGUAAAGCUUCGGCGCUUUGGGAACGGCCUGCGUCCGAUUAGCUUGUUGGUGAGGUAAUAGCUCACCAAGGCGAUGAUCGGUAGCUGGUCUGAGAGGAUGAUCAGCCAGACUGGGACUGAGAACGGCCCAGACUCCUACGGGAGGCAGCAGUAGGGAAUUUUCCACAAUGGGCGACAGCCUGAUGGAGCAACGCCGCGUGCAGGAUGAAGGCCUUCGGGUUGUAAACUGCUUUUAUGUAUGACGAUUAUGACUGUAAUACAUGAAUAAGGAUCGGCUAACUCCGUGCCAGCAGCCGC
rnacentral:rRNA from 1 species